GAUGAACGCUGGCGGCGUGCCUAAUACAUGCAAGUCGAGCGACCCGACGGUGAGCUUUCUCCUCUGACGUUAGCGGCGGACGGGUGAGUAACUCGUGGAUAACCUACCUAUAAAACUGGGAUAAUUUCGUGAGACCGUAUCUACUACCCGCUAAUAUAUUGCACCGCAUGGUUCAAUAGUUCUUUACGCUUUUUCUGUCACUUAUAGCUUGUUCCGCGCCGCAUUAGCUAGUUGGUAAGGUCACAGCUUACCAAGGCAACGAUGCGUAGCCGACCUGAGAGGAUGAUCGGCCACACUGGAACUGAGACACGGUCCAGACUCCUACGGGAGGCAGCAGUAGGGAAUCUUACGCAAUGGGCGAAAGCGUGACGGAGCAACGCCGCGUGAGUGAUGAAGGUCUUCGGAUCGUAAAACUCUGUUAUUAGGGAAGAACAAAAGUGGAAGUAACUAUGCAGGUCUUGACGGUACCGAAUGAGAAAGCCACGGCUAACUACGUG
rnacentral:rRNA from 1 species